rnacentral:tRNA from 1 species
GGAGGGGUGGCCGAGCGGCUUAAGGCAACGGUUUGCUAAACCGUCGUAGUGGCAACGCUACCGGAGGUUCAAAUCCUCUCCCCUCCGCCA